rnacentral:lncRNA from 10 species
GAGUCUCUCCACCUUCCCUAAAAACCCACAUUGCAAAGCCAACUUAGAAUUUAAGGGAGCAACAUUACAAUCUCAAGGAUUUUGUUCCACAUUAACCAUCCAGUGGAUAGUCCUGGGGAAGCAUGUGAUGAUGACAGAUACAAUCCACAAAUAUGACGGCCAACACACACUCAGGCCUUCAGCUGUAGACUUGCACAAACACAAAAGAAAUAAUGGAUGCAAUGACAGCACAGAUAUUCUACUAAUAUCUUUUAAGGCAAAAUCAGCAUAUUUCAUGCUCAGUAAAUUAGUUGCUAAUAGUGGUGACACAGGGAUGCUAUCUGAUUGGUGUGGUUUUCAUGCCAUUCAUGGCACUGAAGGCAUGAUUUAAACUAUCAGGCAGAAGUUCCAAGAACAACACGGCGAUGUGAAUUUAAAUGAAUACAGUCAAGCUAGUGGUUCUGUGAAGUGCUGAAAGACUGCAAAUUUGGCUACCAAAACCAGUUAAUAAACAUUCUUUGCUCACUGUGGUAAGGAAAGAUGGUUGAGAGUAUAGAUGGAGUUAGCUCAGUUAGUAAAUGUAUUUUGAACACU